UUCCAAUAUCUUCUAAUAAUC
rnacentral:piRNA from 1 species